rnacentral:tmRNA from 1 species
GGGGGUGACCGGUUUCGACGGGGACACCAAGGUGAGGUGGCAAGCGGAGGUCCGUCUCCUCCUUAAACCGGCGGAACGGCAAAAACAAAUGCCGACUACGCAACUGUUCCCGCCUACGCCCUGAACUAAGCGUAGGCCGUCUCCGGCGUCCCUGCCCGUGGGCCGCCGUGGGGCGUGGACAAGACGGGCUAGUCCAACUGGCGGGCCUCAGGCUAGUUGGGUGACAUCUCAUGGGGCUCCUGGACCGAGCGAUCCCGCCCGUGGGAGCGCAAGGUCCGAGAGACAAAACGCGGGCUAAGCUUGUAGAAGCCGAAGCCACGGUGUACUCGGACGCGGGUUCAACUCCCGCCACCUCCACCA